UCAGCAAUACCUAGAGAGAGGGAGUGAUAGGAGACUGGAUCAAGAAGCUUUCUUGUUUCCCCAUCGCGCUUCUUGCUUCAUCCUCGUCUGACGCCGGCCACCGUGAGUACUCCUGCCCGCAAGUUCUUCUUCCUCGUUCAGCUUCCCUGGAUCUCUGUCUCCCCUGUUUUCAUUGUGCUGUACCGGUAUGAUUGAUGGGGAAAGCUCGACUUCUUCCUUUCUUCCUCCUCCUUUGUCCGUUUCAUUAGCCACCGGUAAUUAUGGUGCGGCUAUCGUCGCUUAUAGAGGCAAAGCUCGUGAUUUUCCUUCCCUUCCCCUGCUUCACGUUGUCAGCCGUGGACAGCAUCUUCUUCCGUUUUGUUCUGGGUUGAUGUUGUUGUUGAUUUGAGGUCAGGUCCUUGUCCUAGAAUACAUGACCCAAAAUUGAAAGAAAAGUGUGAAAUCAUAUUCAUUAUAUUCAUAUGUAAUAUAGUGUUUUGUGAAUGAAUAGUAUCAAAUUUUUAAAUUGUUAAGUUGCAUGAGUCUUGCUGCAGUUACUCACGUACAUUUUUCCCUUGUUUAAACUUGAUCAUAUUUACAUGAAAUUUUCUUUUUGGGUCUUGGAUUGAGCUUCUCUAUGUGCUUAUAUCAUGGAAGUCCGUGCAUCCUGUUUGUAUGUGAUUAUCUUUCUAAUAUGUUUUGAGCUUAAUGUCUCCCUCUUCCCAAUAUUGUUUGGUGAUAAUAUAACUUAUACUUGGAAAGUAAGGGUAGGAAGAGAUCAAGAAUAAGGAGGAUAAAACAUAUUUCCUUUUUCAUUAUACCCCAGAACCAACAGAAAUGGCAGUACUGAACAUUUAUCUUGUGUCUUAGGGCAUUUGCAAUAGCUUACCCUUAGGACGCCAACAGCACAGCACAGCCAAUUUAUUCAAAUAGUACAGUCUGAUCAUAACUGAAGAGACUAUUUUUGGACCUUGGGAAUUCUGUCGUUCCUUCCAACCCUCUCCAUAACAAUGAAAAGUGGAGCAUCCCUUAUUUCCUUUUCUUUUCAAGUCAGAACAAUCCCAAUCAAAGGUCAUCAGUCUUUGCAAUCCACAUUUCUUCAAUUAGACUAAACAACCUUGUUGAUACAUUUUAUGAAAGGUUUUUCCUUUUUGAAACCAUAAGAUCACAUGUUAGGUGACAAUAUCGGUUUGAUAUUAGUAAAUGGGAUGGUAUAGAAUUGAUCUUCAAGUACUGUGUACCUAACAAGGCUACAUUUUUUUUUUUUGGGGGGGCCUAAAAUCAACUAGUUUAUUUGAUGGGCUUUUUACCUGGGCUCCAUUCAUUUAUUUAGCUUUUGCAAUGUGAGGAAUUGGGAACUGUGAUAUCUUUGGGGCUGCGUAUCUAGUUUGUGAUUUGGAAUUGUCAAUUGGAGUACUUGAUUGGGAAUAUACUUAGCUACUUGUCAGUUUUUUCAAAAGUUGUGGACUUGUGGUGGUUUAUUGCUUUGUUUCCCAAUGUAUUUACAGGUUGUGGAUAUUAUCCUUAACAACGAAAAUGGAAAUUAUUGAACUUAAAGCAUGUGUUUUGCACUAAACUCAUCUUUUAAUGACUUUUUUAAGAAAAACCAUGGGAUAUACAAUACUAUUGGUGAUUUGUAAUGAAGCAACCUUUAUGCAUGGCAUCAUAUACUCUGCCUCAGGGCUGACCAGAGUUCAUCAUUCAUAUUGUAGGUAGCAAGUGCUUGGUGCUUUUAAUGUAUAAUAUCUUACAUCAUUAACUCAUUCCCCUCUCUUUAUAUAUUUAUAUUGUAACAUAGAUGUAUUGAUUUUUUUCCCAAGAUGUUCUUAUCCUGCAAUCAUUAUUGAAUAAUAUGCAGAAUGCUAUGUCAGAUAUAUAAUCAUAAUUGAUUUGUUUCUAAGGAAGCUUUUGAACUCAAAUAGUGACAUUUUACAUUCUAACCAAGAGCAGCUACAGGCAGAUGCCGGUAUUUGUUGACAUGAAACUAAAAUUUGUUAUCUUUGCAAACAUUAAAUAGUAAUGAAACAUGUAAUAUUAAAUUUAUCAGAGUAGUGCAGCAAAAGCGUGGAGUGCGUUUGAACCCUAUGGGUUGAUAGCCAUCUUAAUGGUAGAUAUGGGCUUUUGUCCAUGUAUUCCGUGCCCAGUCACAUCCUAUUUUUUUGGGCAUGACAAAACUAGCUAGUUUCUAUUCCUUCAUUUGACACUUAUGAAUUUUGAUUUAUAAUUAUAUUUUGAUAUAUUUUUUCAAUUAUAUUAUCUCUUUUGUUCUUCAUGAGAUGUUAUACUUGAUACUUAACAUAUAAUUUAUGAGUAAACUUGAUGGAUUGAGAGGGGAAGAGUAAGCCAUAGUUUGAUUAGGAGUUUGGGUUGCACAAGAAUAAAUCAAUCCUACAUAAAUAGGGAGUAAUUAGUUGAGAGGUAGUUAGGACACUCACUAUACUUGAUAGAGUCAAUUUUAAGUGUAGAAAUUAGUAACCUAUACGGUAGAUCCUGAACACGAAUGCUUCUAUUGAUUGGAAUCUCUCUCUCUCUCUCUCUCUACACACACACACACACACACACACACACACAUAUUUAUUUAUUUAUUAGUGAUUUUUAUUAUUUGUUAUUUUCUUCUGUAAUUCUCGAUUCAAAAAUUAAUCAAAAUAGAAAAAUCUUCGUCUA